AUUGAACGCUGGCGGCAGGCCUAACACAUGCAAGUCGAGCGAGCGGCGGACGGGUGAGUAAUGUCUGGGAAACUGCCCGAUGGAGGGGGAUAACUACUGGAAACGGUAGCUAAUACCGCAUACCAUCGGAUGUGCCCAGAUGGGAUUAGCUUGUAGGUGAGGUAACGGCUCACCUAGGCGACGAUCCCUAGCUGGUCUGAGAGGAUGACCAGCCACACUGGAACGGAGACACGGUCCAGACUCCUACGGGAGGCAGCAGUGGGGAAUAUUGCACAAUGGGCGCAAGCCUGAUGCAGCCAUUCCGCGUGUAUGAAGAAGGCCUUCGGAUUGUAAAGCACUUUAAGUUGGGAGGCGUUACCAACAGAAUAAGCACCGGCUAACUUCGUGCCAGCAGCCGCGGUAAUAC
rnacentral:rRNA from 1 species